ACGGCAGCACGGAGCUUGCUCUGGUGGCGAGUGGCGAACGGGUGAGUAAUAUAUCGGAACGUACCCUGGAGUGGGGGAUAACGUAGCGAAAGUUACGCUAAUACCGCAUACGAUCUAAGGAUGAAAGUGGGGGAUCGCAAGACCUCAUGCUCGUGGAGCGGCCGAUAUCUGAUUAGCUAGUUGGUAGGGUAAAAGCCUACCAAGGCAUCGAUCAGUAGCUGGUCUGAGAGGACGACCAGCCACACUGGAACUGAGACACGGUCCAGACUCCUACGGGAGGCAGCAGUGGGGAAUUUUGGACAAUGGGCGCAAGCCUGAUCCAGCAAUGCCGCGUGAGUGAAGAAGGCCUUCGGGUUGUAAAGCUCUUUUGUCAGGGAAGAAACGGUGGGAGCUAAUAUCUCCUGCUAAUGACGGUACCUGAAGAAUAAGCACCGGCUAACUACGUGCCAGCAGCCGCGGUAAUACGUAGGGUGCAAGCGUUAAUCGGAAUUACUGGGCGUAAAGCGUGCGCAGGCGGUUUUGUAAGUCUGAUGUGAAAUCCCCGGGCUCAACCUGGGAAUUGCAUUGGAGACUGCAAGGCUAGAAUCUGGCAGAGGGGGGGUAGAAUUCCACGUGUAGCAGUGAAAUGCGUAGAUAUGUGGAGGAACACCGAUGGCGAAGGCAGCCCCCUGGGUCAAGAUUGACGCUCAUGCACGAAAGCGUGGGGAGCAACAGGAUUAG
rnacentral:rRNA from 1 species